rnacentral:rRNA from 1 species
AUUGAACGCUGGCGGCAUGCCUUACACAUGCAAGUCGAACGGUAACGGGCCUUCGGGUGCCGACGAGUGGCGAACGGGUGAGUAAUGUAUCGGAACGUACCUUUCAGUGGGGGAUAACGUAGCGAAAGUUACGCUAAUACCGCAUAUUCUGUGCGCAGGAAAGCAGGGGAUCGCAAGACCUUGCGCUGAUUGAGCGGCCGAUAUCAGAUUAGCUAGUUGGUGAGGUAAUGGCUCACCUAGGCGACGAUCCCUAGCUGGUCUGAGAGGAUGACCAGCCACACUGGAACUGAGACACGGUCCAGACUCCUACGGGAGGCAGCAGUGGGGAAUUUUGGACAAUGGGGGCAACCCUGAUCCAGCCAUUCCGCGUGAGUGAAGAAGGCCUUCGGGUUGUAAAGCUCUUUCGGCAGGAACGAAACAGUAGUUACUAAUACUAGCUGCUAAUGACGGUACCUGAAGAAGAAGCACCGGCUAACUACGUGCCAGCCGCCGCCGUAACAC